rnacentral:rRNA from 1 species
AGAGUUUGAUCCUGGCUCAGGAUGAACGCUAGCGGCAGGCCUAAUACAUGCAAGUCGAACGGAUGUAGCAAUACAUUAGUGGCGCACGGGUGCGUAACGCGUAUGCAACCUACCUUUCAGUGGGGGAUAGCCCGGGGAAACCCGGAUUAAUACCGCAUAAGAUAGUUGACUGGCAUCAGUUAAUUAUGAAACAUUUAUGGCUGAAAGAUGGGCAUGCGUUAGAUUAGCUAGUUGGUAGGGUAAAGGCCUACCAAGGCGACGAUCGGUAGCUGGUCUGAGAGGAUGGCCAGCCACACUGGGACUGAGACACGGCCCAGACUCCUACGGGAGGCAGCAGCCAGGAAUCUUGGGCAAUGGGCGAAAGCCUGACCCAGCAACACCGUGUGGGCGAUGAAGGCCUUCGGGUCGUAAAGCCCUGUUGAUAGGGACGAAGGGCGAAGGGUUAAUAGCCCCUAGCCUGACGGUACCUUUCGAGGAAGCCCCGGCUAACUACGUGCCAGCAGCCGCGGUAAUACGUAGGGGGCGAGCGUUGUCCGGAAUUAUUGGGCGUAAAGAGCGUGUAGGCUGUUCGGUAAGUCUGCCGUGAAAACCUGAGGCUCAACCUCGGGCGUGCGGUGGAUACUGCCGGGCUAGAGGACGGUAGAGGCGAGUGGAAUUCCCGGUGUAGCGGUGAAAUGCGCAGAUAUCGGGAGGAACACCAGUAGCGAAGGCGGCUCGCUGGGCCGUUCCUGACGCUGAGACGCGAAAGCUAGGGGAGCGAACAGGAUUAGAUACCCUCGUAGUCC